UAGAGAUGAUGAACCAUUCCUGAAGUUGGACGCCAGAAUGCAGGAAGGUGCUGUUUAAGAGCCUAGGCGGUGGAAGAAGCACUUGCAGGUAUGCUACCGACCAGGCUCCUCAACAUCAAUCCGAGACGGAAGAUGAAACGGGAUGAAGCAGUUAGAUUGAGACAAGGCGGCCGGAAACUUUGAUGACCUCAAUGACACUGGCUAGGUGAAGGACAUCAACAAAAUGGCAUCAGGUCACCAGACAUCAGCUCAUAAUCCACAACGUCAUCAACCAUUUUGCGCCAAAAAUGAAGCCGUUCACAUACCAUGGCAUCCUAAGCAGGCAGCACUACACUACUGUGCAACAGUGAGAGAGAGCGGGCAAGGACAAGUAAAGCGGACCUACACUACAGCAAGACUUUGACACUUCUCCACGUUAGAGGCAGCCAUCACCCCCACCGUUGAGCAGCGGCUAUGUGUAACCCCCAAAAGAGGAGAUGAUCCGACGAUGUGUGUGUGGUGCGUGUGUGUGUUGUAUGAUAUUGUAACACUUCAG